UCUAGUGAUGAUGGCAAAGAGGUCACACCCGUUCCCAUACCGAACACGGAAGUUAAGCUCUUUAGCGCCGAUGGUAGUUGGGGGCUUCCCCCUGUGAUAGUAGGACGUCGCUAGGC
rnacentral:rRNA from 1 species